GCAAACUUGGUCAUUUAGAGGAAGUAAAAGUCGUAACAAGGUUUCCGUAGGUGAACCUGCGGAAGGAUCAUUAUUGAAUAAACUUGGUGGGUUGUAGCUGGCUCUUUGGAGCAUGUGCACACUCAUCAUCUUUAUCUCUCCACCUGUGCACAAUCUGUAGUCUUGAGGGAGAUAAAAACAACCAGUUUUCAAUGGAAAUUGGUUUGUGGCACUCUCUCAGGUCUAUGUGUUUUCAUACACUCCAUAGUAUGUUGCAGAAUGUAUUUAAAGGGCCAUUGUGCCUAUAAAACUCUAUACAACUUUCAGCAACGGAUCUCUUGGCUCUCGCAUCGAUGAAGAACGCAGC
rnacentral:misc_RNA from 1 species